AUCAUCACGGGGAUACGCGUGUCUGAGGGUCG
rnacentral:rRNA from 1 species